GACGAACGCUGGCGGCGUGCUUAACACAUGCAAGUCGAACGGAAAGGCCUGCUUUCCCUUGUGGAUUGCGGGUACUCGAGUGGCGAACGGGUGAGUAACACGUGAGUGAUCUGCCCCCAACUUGGGUAUAAGCCUGGGAAACUGGGUCUAAUUCCCGAUAGGACUGCAGGGUGGUGCCUGUGGUGGAAAACGAUUUUCUAGUGGUUGGGGAUGAGCUCGCGGCCUAUCAGCUUGUUGGUGGGGUAAUGGCCUACCAAGGCGGCGACGGGUAGCCGGCCUGGGAGGGUGGACGGCCACAUUGGGACUGAGAUACGGCCCAGACUCCUACGGGAGGCAGCAGUGGGGAAUAUUGCACAAUGGGCGGAAGCCUGAUGCAGCGACGCCGCGUGGGGGAUGACAGCCUUCGGGUUGUAAACUCCUUUCGACCGCGAGGAAGCCACCUGGUUGGAAGGGUGGUGACGGUAGUGGUAGAAGAAGCACCGGCUAACUACGUG
rnacentral:rRNA from 1 species